rnacentral:rRNA from 1 species
AACGACAACGGGCGAGCAGCGGGGUGAAGACGGGGCGAGCAAGCGUUGUACGGAUUAACUGGGCGUAAAGGGGCGGUAGGAGGGCAUCGAAAGUCAGUUGUGAAAGAUCUGGGAUGAACCCAGAAAGGGCAACUGAGGCUGCGGGGCUAGAGUGAAGAAGGGGGAACUGGAAUGCUCGGUGUAGCGGGGAAAUGCGUAGAUAUCGAGAGGAACACCUGCGGCGAAGGCGGGUUGCUGGGCUGACACUGACGCUGAUGCGCGAAAGCUAGGGGAGCGAACGGGAUUAGAUACCCGGGUAGUC